AUGUGGAAGUGGUGCCAUUUUGCAUGUUACGGCGUUGAUUUAGAAGUCAUUCGGCUGAUUGAUGGAAACCAAGCGCUGGCAGGCAGAUGGAGGGGCAUCAGCGGGAAGGAGGAGGGAGAGUGGUGUCCUGAGGUGAAGUCCUGCAGACCAUCCUGCAGACCCGGCCCUGGAGAUGCCUCAGCUCUGGUGAUGACCACCCCAGGGUCUGUCUCCACAUGUCCCAGGCCGGUGGUAUGGUUACAGAAGCAUCAAUCCCAACAUAAAGCAUGAAAAGUGUUCUAUCAACGAGGGCACAUUCCUGCCACGAGAAGAGGUAUAGUUUCACUUUAGAACAGUCUUCUCAUUCUUCCACUCAUCACCUUUUGUCACAUAUGUUCCCUCUUGUUAUUCUACUUUAUUUUUUUCCAAUUUCUGGUGAAGAUCACCUGAAUGAUCACUGUAUCUUUCUUGGUCUACUUCAGGGAUGUGCCUGUAAAUGUUCAGCAAUUGCAAUUUUGGGAAAAAUUACCUUGAUUUGUAGUUUUUGCUGAUUGCUGUGGUGUGAAUACUUCCAUGAUGGCUGGUUUCAAGCUCCUGACAUGCUAUCCCUGAGUGAGCAGAUGAGAAAGGAUGUGCUCACCACCUCUCAGGAACCAGAUGCGCUGCAGCGUUGAACCUCGCUCACCACUGUGGAGCCUUUCAGACUGGAAGCAGAAUGAAAGUCUUGCCUAUGACUUCAAGUCCUGAGGGAUAGACUACUUUCCUUUUUAUUGUCACAUAUUGGGCUUUACUUUCUGAGAGAGGGCUGAUCCCAGGAAAUAUGGCUGGAUCAGCACAAGUGAGCAUCACCCUGGGGGUUGGAGGGAUGUCCCAUGGUGGUGAAUCCUGACUAUUGAGUGUCAAUAAAUAUUAUAAUUUUCCUUAGUUUAUCCA
rnacentral:lncRNA from 12 species